rnacentral:lncRNA from 1 species
ACUCGGGCUCCAUUAGCGACCCUAAGCAAUUUCACACAUGCGUUGAUUCAUGAAAUAUCGUUUUAUCAUUUAUUGAACUUUAAAACCGUGAUAGGAAAUAAGGUGAGGGGUCCUUACUCGUUUCGGGGUCCGAACACGGCUCCACAGUGCGCUUGCAGGCUGUCCCUAAUUUUUCCUGAAUUUUCUUCGGGGAACUGAAACGC